AUGCCUACAAAAAAUCAAUUGAUUCGCCAUGGUAGAGAAGAAAAACAGCGCACGGACCGUACUCGACCUACGGAUCAAUGUCCCCAAAAGCAAGGCGUAUGCCUGCGUGUUUCGACGAGAACACCGAAAAAACCUAAUUCAGCUCUACGUAAGAUAGCAAAAGUAUGGUUGAGCAAUCGACAUGAUAUAUUUGCUCACAUUCCAGGCAAAGGUCGUAAUUCGUAG
rnacentral:rRNA from 1 species